rnacentral:rRNA from 1 species
AUUGAACGCUGGCGGCAGGCCUAACACAUGCAAGUCGAGCGGAUGAAGGGAGCUUGCUCCUGGAUUCAGCGGCGGACGGGUGAGUAAUGCCUAGGAAUCUGCCUGGUAGUGGGGGAUAACGUCCGGAAACGGGCGCUAAUACCGCAUACGUCCUGAGGGAGAAAGUGGGGGAUCUUCGGACCUCACGCUAUCAGAUGAGCCUAGGUCGGAUUAGCUAGUUGGUGGGGUAAGGGCCUACCAAGGCGACGAUCCGUAACUGGUCUGAGAGGAUGAUCAGUCACACUGGAACUGGGACACGGUCCAGACUCCUGCGGGAGGCAGCAGUGGGGAAUAUUGGACAGUGGGCGAAAGCCUGAUCCAGCCAUGCCGCGUGUGUGAAGAAGGUCUUCGGAUUGUAAAGCACUUUAAGUGGUGGUGAAGGGCAGUAAGUUAAUACCUUGCUGUUUUGACGUUACCAACAGAAUAAGCACCGGCUAACUUCGUG